CUACGUGGAUGUUCAUUUUGUCUCUAUAAAAAGCUAGUGCGUUUUGCUAAAUCAACAAGGCUUUAAGAAAAAUUUCUGUCCGGACUGGAAAAGAAUCGUGCAGCUAUAUCUUUGUUGGAUGGAAAACGUACGUUGCCCUUACGUGAAGGGUUGUAGGAUUUGGGAUGUCGUUCGUGAGCCACGGUUUCAGGAGACAGGGGUUCCGUUGGGAAUGAGCUCGACAUCUCCCAUAGGCCGGAAACUAGCACCUCGCCAAUUCCAGCCACGACACAUCAAUACAUAGUAAAGUCGAAAACCUUUGGAGCCCGUCUUCAUUUGACCGCAUCCUCGUAUCAAUUCGUCGGAUGAAAAGGAUCCCCACUCAAUGGCUUGCUCGACAACAAAAAAACUAGGCUGAAAAGAUUUGCAUGGGUCUAACAAUUAUUUUACAAAAAUUUGUUUAUUUUCUAGUCUCAUCUCUGAAUCUGUACAAAACAAGAGGAAUAGAUUCUUGAUGGCACAUUUCUUUUUUUCAACCUUUUUGCGAGUGUUAACACCGAUGUUAAGUUUGUUAUCAAUGAGUAAACCAAGGUUUUCAACGCUAUUAUUCCGAGUAGCAUUUAAUUAAUCGAUUCUUAUACUAUGCCUAAAUAGAGGAUAUUUUUUUAGAGAAUCAGUUAUGAGCCACGUAAAUAAAUUCGUUAUUUAUAAAACAAUAGUUAGACACAUGCCGUGAUAUGCCGCUCAGGUGUGGAGUUAUACAAGAACAGCAACAUUCAAUGCAUACACAUCAUUAAAAAAAAAGUUUAAAAUAAAUAACAUGAUCUACAAAGAGCACUCACAUAAACUACAUAUGCAUGAAAUUUUAAACAUAUCUUACAUUCUUUUAUCCACGUCGAAAAUUAUGUGUGUCCACUUUUGCAGACCCGGCUCACAGCUUCUCACACUCAUCCUGUGCGGUGCGUAGAGACGUUGCAGUUCCUCGGUCUCCUGCUUGGUGAGAAGUUGAGAUAGCAAGCACACAUCGACGCCGUGAUGAAAUAUAUUGGUUACUUUAAGUGGAGAAUGGACAGAGAGACACCCUUUUAAAAAUGUGUGACUCGCUGUUUUGUUCGCGGAUGGAUAUAUGGCUUACUUGUCGGCCCGGAAAACGCGCCUGAGAAAGCUUGAUAAUCCCUACUAUCAAGGACUCAGAGCGAUCUUUGGAAGGUUCAGGCCUUUGGCCAGCCUGUGCUGCGAGCUGGGGGGGUCUUGCUUUCCGAAGUUAGGAAAGAGCAGCUUGCCAUUGUUUAAGAGUCCUGAUGCUUGGACAAUCCAGGGCACCAUUCUCUAAGACGAUCCUCUAGUGCCCGUACAGAAUUGAGUACAACAUACUUCGUACGCAAACGCGACUCCUCGGGAUUCGCUUCGGCACCUGCACCUUUCUGGACGUUCGAUGAUCCAGCGAACUUGCCGAAGUUGUUUACACCGCCAUAUCUCUCUAAGGCCUUGAGCUUAGAAACGGAUAUGUCGGUUUUUGUCUGGUUUUACAGACGGGUCCACCACCAGCAAUGGUGAGCGAAGGAUGGGCCACCAUCUGAUCGUUGCCAGCUGGAGCGCCAUGGAAAAAUGGUGGUUGUUGUAGGGGUUCCCGUCGGCCUAGAACGAACGUGCGGAGGAGGCGGCGGCGAAGCGGGGUUGCCCAACUCUUCAAACUGGAACUCGGGAUCAGGCCCUCUGAUGCCAAGUCGCAGUGAAAAAACAUGAUAAAAGAAAGAUGGGAGCGUCAGUAACUGGGAUCGGCCGAGGUCUAUUGAGAGUCAAGAGCACGACCGGUACUUGGCUUUUAGAGAACCAGAGCUGGAGGCGAGAGCUCGUCCACAUCUGAUUGAAGGUUGGCUGUACGCGGUUGACACACGGGCAUCUGCUUAAGUGGGAAAGCCCUUGCGUUUCCGUUAUGCAGAGAAAGGUUGUUCAAUGUAUCCCAUAUAAUAAAGGCGUGUCGCGCCUUGGCUUCAUACAGAGAGCGGGUAAGCAUGCCGCCGCAUUAAGAAGGGUUCUCGAAUCCAGCAGUCGGUUUCUGGGUCCCCUGUUUCGUUUUUUAGAGAACUCUGAGUGGUGAGGGGAGAUGGUGAAAUACAGCAUCACCAUCGCUCCUCCAGGAGUAUCUGUAUUCAUGCUUAAUGGAGCAAUAUCCAGUAUUUCACCGACUAAUCAGAAGGAGUGCAAUGCAUUUUGGUUGGGUUUGGGGCUGAAAUGACUUAGCUGUUAAUAGCCCACGUCGGAUCCUAAACCCCCUAAACCCCCGAAAGUGACGAUCUCCUGGGCGUAUGUAUGAUGUAUAGGCACUAACGUCAGCACAUCGGGGAGUGACAACCCUUCUGGGUGAAAGUUCAAAAGUACUUCAUUAAUGAUGAUAUGAAAAGGUUAACAACCUCCUUUUUUCACGUAGCGCUGAAAGUACAAACCCAACGGAAAGAACAUUGUAAA
rnacentral:lncRNA from 1 species